GUGAAUUUCAACAACAAAAAUAGAACCAUCAAAUUGAAUGGACCCCAUAAGGGUAAAUGAAUGUGUUCAAAAGAUAUCCAGAGGGUUAGGCUAGAAAGGUGUGCGGUAAGGUGAACUCUACUACUAAAUGAUGGACAGGAUGUUUCCGAGGUGGAAUAUUAGUUUCAUCCUUACUUGGCAAACAUGCUAGAAAAGAUACCACAUAAAAUGGAGAGUAACUACAGGUUAUAUAACAUUCUAUUACCUGAGUAGUAACAGGAUCAGGGAACAGCUUGGGUUCAUCUGACCCAACGGUGGCAUUCUCAAGGUUCUCCUGUACACAACAGAUAAAAAAGUAGAAUUAUUUAGAGCAGGUGUUACGCAUGAAUGCAGAGAUGUGAAAAAAGGUCAGAACUUUGCUCAAAGGAAUUUAAUUAAUUAAACAGUGAAAACUGAAAGAUAUUAAUAGAUACUCAAGUACCAUAAAGGAAAAGCAUUGCCAAAACAGCAAAUAAUAAUCCCAAGAGGAUGUCUAUGACUUCCAACAAGUAUCCGAACAACCUGUUAGAGGCUGCAAAUUGGUAAUAUGUAUUCAGACUUACAAUGCCUAAUAAUGUGUAAAAGUGUGCAUGCAAUAACAUCAGUUUGGAAACUGACAAGCAUUUCCAAAGCUGAGUUAUCACAAUUGUGGAUUAAUUUACAAAUUAAUAUCACAAUCAUAUAACAAAUGUAAGCAAAUGGCAAGGGCGUUUUUCUAGGUCCCAACAUGCCAUUAUAUGUAAGGAGCUGCCAAUUGAUCAUAGUAAAGACGGACAUUUUAAAAACCCCAAUCUCUAUUGUUACUGCAAAUACACUUUAUAUUGGUCACAAUAGCAAUUCUGUUUUUCCCCAUGUCAGAUCUUGUUAAAUAUUUUGCAUUAUAGAUGCACAUCAGAUGCACAGUGAGAAACCUGACCAACUCACCUUUUUACGCCAGGGCCAUUUUGAGUCCCCAUAGUUGUAGACAAUUUCAGUUCCUGGUUCUAUGUUUCUCAGAGCAAACAGGCACAAAUGUACUCUGUCAUUUACACUAACUUUUUUCAUGACACAGUUUGGUGAUUUGUGGUCGUCAUUCGCUAAUCGUCCAAGUGACCCAUCUUCUCUGGAUGCAUCAAUGCUAAAAGGAGGGAAUACAACACAUUAAACUUGUACUU
ensembl:lncRNA